GAUGAACGCUGGCGGCGUGCCUAAUACAUGCAAGUCGAGCGAACGGACGAGAAGCUUGCUUCUCUGAUGUUAGCGGCGGACGGGUGAGUAACACGUGGAUAACCUACCUAUAAGACUGGGAUAACUUCGGGAAACCGGAGCUAAUACCGGAUAAUAUUUUGAACCGCAUGGUUCAAAAGUGAAAGACGGUCUUGCUGUCACUUAUAGAUGGAUCCGCGCUGCAUUAGCUAGUUGGUAAGGUAACGGCUUACCAAGGCAACGAUGCAUAGCCGACCUGAGAGGGUGAUCGGCCACACUGGAACUGAGACACGGUCCAGACUCCUAAGGGAGGCAGCAGUAGGGAAUAUUCCGCAAUGGGCGAAAGCCUGACGGAGCAACGCCGCGUGAGUGAUGAAGGUCUUCGGAUCGUAAAACUCUGUUAUUAGGGAAGAACAUAAGUGUAAGUAACUGUGCACAUCUUGACGGUACCUAAUCAGAAAGCCACGGCUAACUACGUG
rnacentral:rRNA from 1 species